AGCUUGACCAUGGCUCAGAUUGAACGCUGGCGGAUGCUUUACACAUGCAAAGCCGAACGGCAGCACGGACUUCGGUCCGGUGGCGAGUGGCGAACUGCGAGUAAUGUAUCGGAACGCCUAGUAGCGGGGAUAACUACGCGAAAGCGUAGCUAAUACCGCAUAAUAGCCCUUCUUGGGAAAGCGGGGACCUUCGGGCCUCGCACCAUUAGAGCGGCUGAUAUCGGAUUAGCUAGUUGGUGGGUAACGGCUCACCAAGGCGACGAUCCGUAGCUGGUUUGAGGACGACCAGCCACACUGGGACUGAGACACGGCCCAGACUCCUACGGGAGGCAGCAGUGGGGAAUUUUGACAAUGGGGAAACCCUGAUCCAGUCAUCCCGCAUGCGUAUGCGAUGAAGGCCUGGCUAAAAAGCACUUUGGCAGGAAGAAACGGCACGGGAUAAUACCCGUGCAACUGACGGUACCUGCAGAAUAAGCACCGGCUAACUACGCCAGCAGCCGCGGUAAUACGUAGGGUGUUAAUCGGAAUUACUGGCGGCAAGGGUGCAGGCGGUUCGGAAAGAAAGAUGUAACCCAGAGCUUAACUUGUUUUGGAACUGCAUUUUUAACUACCGAGCUAGAGUGUGUCAGAGGGAGGUGGAAUUCCGCGUAGCAGUGAAAUGCGUAGAUAUGCGGAGGAACACCGAUGGCGAAGGCAGCCUCUGGGAUACCGACGUCAUGCACGAAAGCGGGGAGCAAACAGGAUUAGAUGACUUGCAGUCCACGCCCUAAACGAUGUCAAUUAGCCGUUGGGGCCUUCGCCUGGUAGCGCAGCUAACGCGCGAAGUUGACCGCCCGGGGAGUACGGUCGCAAGAUUAAAACUCAAAGGAAUUGACGGGGACUCGCACAAGCGGUGGAUGAUGUGGAUUAAUUCGAUGCAACGCGAAAACCUUUACCUACCCUUGAUAUGUCUGGAAUCCUGAAGAGAUUUGGGGGUGCUCGCAAGAGAACCGGAACACAGGUGCUGCAUGGCUGUCGUCAGCUCGUGUCGUGAGAUGUUGUGUUAAGUCCUGCAACGAGCGCAACCCUUGUCAUUAGUUGCUACGAAAGGGCACUCUAUCGAGACUGCUGGUGACAAACCGGAGGAAGGUGGGGAUGACGUCAAGUCCUCAUGGCCCUUAUGGGUAGGCUUCACACGUCAUACAAUGGUCGGGACAGAGGGCUCAACCCGAAGAGGGGGAGCCAAUCCCAGAAACCUCGAUCGUAGUCCGAUCGCAGUUCGCAACUCGACUGCGGAAGUCGGAAACGCUAGUAAUCGCGGAUCAGCAUGUCGGUGAAUACGUUCCUGGUCUUGUACACACCGCCCGUCACACCAUGGGAGUGGGUUUACCAGAAGUAGUUAGCCUGUCCGUAAGGAGGGUGAUUACCAUGUAGGAUUCAUGAUCGGGGUGAAGUCGUAACAAGGUAG
rnacentral:rRNA from 1 species